rnacentral:rRNA from 1 species
AUGCGGUUUCCCCCACGGGCAGCGGGCAUGCUGUUUUCCCCACGGGCAGCGACCUCCAAGUCUGCGACAUUGGCGGUUGUGGGGGGGCGCACCCCUCCUCGUCAUUCUCCAUCGCAAGCCCCCCACUUUUCCCUGUGCGGUGCAGACCAACAGUCGUCCGGCAGGAAGAAGGCAUGGUGUCACCGACAACAACGCUCCAUGUAG